UCAAAAGGGAAGGUCAUCCACUAAACUUGACCAUCUCCGAAGAGAGAAGACCUAUUGGAGAAAAUAAUGAACUACUUUCCAGAGAGAUUGGACUUCUUACACGGUACCAUGCACCUAUCCAACGUGCCGGGUGGCAUAGUCUUACUGAGGAUGAUAAGGAGCCGUUGUAUGAACUUCUAAAGCUUAAGUUCAAUCUUGAUUUCACCCAAGAUCAUAUCAAAGGCUGUGUGGAUCUGCUAUUCUCUUCAAGCUACAAAAGUUUCCGUCACAAGUGUUAUGAAUAUUAUGUAAAAUCUGGUGAUGAUGCUAGAAGCAAUCCAUAUCCUCCCCUUAUUGAUAAUAGAGUUGGAGACUGGAUUUGGCUCUGUGAUCAUUUUGAAACAGAAGAAUUUAAGAAACGGUCCACAAUUGGGAAGGCUAACCACUCAAACCUACCUUAUGUUCACAAGAAGGGAACAAAGUCAUUUGU